rnacentral:lncRNA from 11 species
UUUAUUCCGUUCGACGGGGGAAAAAAUUUUAAUAGCCUUCUUAAUAGCCCUCGACCUUUCAUCCGUGGCAAAUUUCUACGGUGUUAUUAAGGGAUUCAAAGUAGACUUGAAACUAAGAUCGAUAAGCCCCUCCGCGACAGCAUUUCAUUUUCUUCCACUUUCCAAUAAUCCUUCUUAAUACUCUCACUAAUCGAAGUAAAUGUCACGAAUCGACUAAUAGAUAUUUCCUCCCAACUAUAAUAUAUUGCACGAUUAUAUAUAAUAACAUUUCGUCCCUUAUCACUCACACAAUUGUCAAAUCUGUCAAAGAUAAAACACGAGAUUGAUUAAUGACACAGAUAUAUUAUUAACUCGAGAAAAAUAAAUUGUCUCGAGGUAACAAAAAAAAUAAGAAUAUAUUGCGUUGUUUAAAAAAUAAUUUCAUUUCUUCACACAAGUGUCACUAGUCGAAAAUUUAUUUAGCCAACUUCAUUCUAAUCCGUGAUGUUCGGAAAAUAAUUUUAUUUCUUCACACAAGUGUCUCUAGUCGAAUGUUUAUCCAAUCAACUUCGUCCUAAACCGUGUUAUUCGGAAAGUAAUUUUAUUUCUUCACACGAGUGUCACUAGUCGAAAGUUUAUCCAACCAACUUCAUUCUAAUCCAUGAUGUUCGGAAAAUAAUUUUGUUUCUUCACACGAGUGUCGCUAGUCGAAAGUUUAUCCAAUCAACUUUGUUCUAAUCCGUGAUGUUCAGAAAGUAAUUUCAUUUCUUCACGAGGGAGCAGCUGCGACUUUUCCACCCUCGAAAAGAUGGAAGCGGAGUUGGAAAAAAGAUGGGGUUCCGGUGCUCGGAUACGGAACAGGCAGCGGAAAAUUUAUCGAGCUCUCGGUGUGGCGGGAGUCAAGCUGUGUGCAGCAACACGCGACCAGCGCCACCAUCGCUUCAUGAAAACGAUGAUUUCUGGGCAAAGAUUUCCCGGAGGGGCCGUGCACGAUAAUUCGCUACCAAUUCAAAUCGACCGCCACUCGAUCAAUUUCCCUAAAAAGAAGAUACGUUCAUCACGGAAAUUAUCUUAUCCCUUAAAUCCAUCUAAACCCGGCAUAAAUCAGGACCAUGACCUAGACAGUGUCGCUAUGGGUCGUCUAGUAUGCGCGGGAUGAACGAUGGAGAGAGAAAAAUGAAAAGAAGAAAAAAAAAGGAAGAGAAGAGGCUCCUAAAAAUAAUAUCGUAAAACCACGAACCACGAUGAUGGCUUGUCCUACGCACAUACAUAUACAUAUAUACAUAUAUACACACGCUAGAUUAUACGCUUGUACAUAUAUUAUGAACACGUUAUAGGACGUGGAAGUCUAUUUCGAACCGAAAGACAUUCUGUAUCCAGCCGUUCUCGCAACACGCAGCCUUUGAUACAGCCACGAUAUAUACGUACAUACACGGGAGAGAGAACUGCAUCCCCUUCGAUGCCUGCCUGCCGCAGGGAUUCUCAGCCGUGUAAACAAGCGCGGGGUGUAAGCGGAUAUUCUCCCCUUCGUGGAAAAACACAAUUUCCGUUUCGAUUCAAAUAUCUGAGAGCAGGAAGGAAUUGAGGAAUACGUACGUACCGAUUGAGAACCACUGUAAAUCGGCGUGCACAUCUGGCUACCCUGGAAACGUGGGAGUUGAGAGUAAAGUAUAAACUAUGGGGUGGCACCCCAUCUCGUAGCGGGCUACCUACCACCUCCUCCUCCUCCCAUAGACGUAGGUAAUAUCAUCGUCCACGCGAGUCUACGCGCAUACGCGACUCGUCGUUGCACGGAAUAGGGUGACAAAGUUGGCCACCACACAUUUGGGCGAAAUGCGCAUUUGUGCGAGAGAGGGAGGCUCCUCGUGCAAGAGAGGCUAUAAAUUUAAAGGGGGACACGUAGGGUAGGCCCCAUACUGGAAGCCAGUUUCCAUGGUGGUCCAGAUCUCUCGUGGCGGCCAGGAGACGCGCAAAGGGUUGCUAAAAGCCAUUCACGGGGCUAAUGGCUAAUGGGGUGUUCUUAACACGGCACCGAAUCUACUGCGCCGCCGUUUACCACCCUCCACCUUUCCCCGCCUUCGAGAGAGCGAAUCCAUGCCGAAUAUCAAUAGGAUAGAAAUUCAUUUAUACCCACCAGUUGCCCAGAAACGAAACUUGGUAAACGGGAUUCUGCGAUUCCAGAGAAUUCUGCAUGCAAGAAAUUCUCAAAGUCGUGCAAUAAACUUGGGGAAGAAGGAAGGAAGGAAGGAAGGAAGAGGAAAAGUUACUGAAAGAUGAGCGACGAACAAGUCGGGAUUGAAAGAUAGGGUUCAGGCCAAACGGUUGUUUCUCUGUCAACCCUCUGUCAAUGAAGGUACACCUUCAGAAUCGAAGAAAUCUCAUCGCAAUUUUAAAGUAUUCACUCGGGUGGGAUUCACGUAAAUUACGCGUGGAUAACGUUUGCGACCGCUAUAACUCUCUCAGGGGAUCUAUAAAUAUCGCGAGCUCCUUCCAACAAGUUAUGGAACGUAUGGAUUAGGUCAACAACUAUUACCGUAUAAUGUGAAACAAAUGUUAAAACAAUGAAUUUGAAAACGAUAUUGAAGGAGGAAGAGGAAGAAGAUGUUAUAAUAUGAAACAAAUGUU